AAUUAAGCGGAGGAAAAGAAACUAACUAGGAUUCCCUUAGUAGCUGCGAGCGAAUAGGGAAAAGGUCAGCACCGAAUCCCGCGGCCGGCACCGGACGCUGGGAAAUGUGGUGUUAGGGAGGAUCCAUUUAUCUCGAAAUUGGUGGUGCGUCCAAGUCCUUCUUGAAUGGGGCCACAGCCCCAUAGAGGGUGCCAGGGCCCGUAGUGACCAUUGCCAGUUGCGAGAGGAUCUCUCCUCAGAGUCGGGUUGCUUGAGAGUGCAGCCCUAAGUGGGUGGUAAACUCCAUCUAAAGCUAAAUAUAACCACGAGACCGAUAGCGAACAAGUACCGUGAGGGAAAGUUGAAAAGCACUUUGAAGAGAGAGUUCAAGAGUACGUGAAACCGUUCAGGGGUAAACCUGAGAAACCCGAAAGGUCGAAAGGGGAAAUUCAUUCGCGUCUCGUUAUUGGCAAUAGAUGUUUGUAUGACAAAUAAGGUACGCCGAAUUUGCUUCAUUCAUCUUGUUGAACUAAUAUCGAAUGCGUGCACUUUUCCCCUAGUAGGACGUCGCGAUCCGUUGAGUGUCAGUCUAAGGUCUAUGGUGGAGACUAUCUGAAUAGUAAUUAUUACUACCUUUGGAUAGACCCAUGGUAUCCCGACUGACUCGCUCGACGGUAUACAGAUGGUGCAGAGCCGCAAAAUUUAAUUUGCGUUCGGCCCAUAGCAAGCACGUGUGGAUUUAAAUUAGAAUUAUCGGACUUUGUGCCGAUUCUGAUGCCAGACGACUGUUGGCUAUGUGUGUUCUUGAACAGACUCUGAAAAUUCAUAAUGAAACACCGAUCUGCGGCGCUAUAGCUUUGGGUACUUUCAGGACCCGUCUUGAAACACGGACCAAGGAGUCUAGCAUGUGCGCGAGUCAUUGGGAAUUUAAUUAAACCUAAAGGCGUAAUGAAAGUAAAGAUUUACCUUGCGUGAAUCUAGGGAAGAUGGGUAGUUUGCCCAUAAAGUGGCUACCUCGCAUUCCCGGGGCGUCUCAUUCUCAUUAUGAGAAGAGGCGCACCAAGAGCGUACACGCUGGGACCCGAAAGAUGGUGAACUAUGCCUGGUCAGGACGAAGUCAGGGGAAACCCUGAUGGAGGUCCGUAGCGAUUCUGACGUGCAAAUCGAUCGUCGGAACUGGGUAUAGGGGCGAAAGACUAAUCGAACCAUCUAGUAGCUGGUUCCCUCCGAAGUUUCCCUCAGGAUAGCUGGCGCUCAUUGCAUACGAGUCUCAUCCGGUAAAGCGAAUGAUUAGAGGCAUUGGGGUCGAAACGACCUCAACCUAUUCUCAAACUUUAAAUGGGUGAGAUCUCCGGCUUGCUCAAAUUUUUGAAGCCGUGAGAAAUGGAUCAGAGUGCCAAGUGGGCCAUUUUUGGUAAGCAGAACUGGCGCUGUGGGAUGAACCAAACGCUGCAGUUAAAGCGCCAUAAAUCGACGCUUAUGGGAUACCAUGAAAGGCGUUGGUAACUUAAGACAGCAGGACGGUGGCCAUGGAAGUCGGAAUCCGCCAAGGAGUGUGUAACAACUCACCUGCCGAAGUUACUAGCCCUGAAAAUGGAUGGCGCUGAAGCGUCGUGCUUAUACUCGGCCGUCAGUGGCAUGUGCGGUCACAAAUUUUUUGGGCCAUGAAGCCCUGACGAGUAGGAGGGUCGCGGCGGUGAGCGCACAAGGGCUGGCCGUGAGGCCGUCUGGAGCCGCCGUCGGUGCAGAUCUUGGUGGUAGUAGCAAAUACUCCAGCGAGGCCCUGGAGGACUGACGUGGAGAAGGGUUUCGUGUGAACAGCCGUUGCACACGAGUCAGUCGAUCCUAAGCCCUAGGCGAAAGCCGAUGUUAAUGUGGUGUAUGUUUUAUUUAUGUACUAUAUAUUAUAAAUUUUUUUUUUUAUAAAUAUGCAUAAAUAUUGUUUAUUUUAUACAUAUGUAUGUAUGUAUAGGAAAACAAAAACAAUAUAGAAGCAUAUAAGAAAAAAAGAAUACAAAAUAUGUGUAUUUAUUUACAAAAAACAUAUGUAUGUAUUUUACAAAAAUUAUAAUAAUAAUUUAGAAAAAGUACACACCCAUAGGGCGAAAGGGAAUCCGGUUCCUAUUCCGGAACCCGGUAGCGGAACCGUUAAUUAGUCGGGCCCUCGCAAGAGAGUUCGUCGGGGUAACCCAAAAGGACCCGGAGACGCCGUCGGGAGAUCCGGGAAGAGUUUUCUUUUCUGCAUGAGCGUUCGAGUUCCAUGGAAUCCUCUAGCAGGGAGAUAUGGUUUGGAACGCGAAGAGCACCGCAGUUGCAGCGGUGUCCGGAUCUUCCCCUCGGACCUUGAAAAUCCGGGAGAGGGCCACGUGGAGGUGUCGCACCGGUUCGUACCCAUAUCCGCAGCAGGUCUCC
rnacentral:rRNA from 1 species